GGAAUAUUGGUCAAUGGACGAAAGUCUGAACCAGCCAUGCCGCGUGAAGGAUGAAGGUCCUCUGGAUUGUAAACCUCUUUUAUAUGGGACGAAAAAAGGGUUUUCUAACUCAACUGACGGUACCAUAUGAAUAAGCACCGGCUAACUCCGUGCCAGCAGCCGCGGUAAUACGGAGGGUGCAAGCGUUAUCCGGAUUCACUGGGUUUAAAGGGUGCGUAGGUGGGUUGGUAAGUCAGUGGUGAAAUCCCCGAGCUUAACUCGGGAACUGCCAUUGAUACUAUCAGUCUUGAAUACCGUGGAGGUCAGCAGAAUAUGUCAUGUAGCGGUGAAAUGCUUAGAUAUGACAUAGAAUACCAAUUGCGAAGGCAGCUGGCUACCCGAAUAUUGACACUGAGGCACGAAAGCGUGGGGAUCAAACAGGAUUAGAUACCCUGGUAGUCCACGCCCUAAACUAUGGAUACUCGACAUACGCGAUACACUGUGUGUGUCUGAGCGAAAGCAUUAAGUAUCCCACCUGGGAAGUACGACCGCAAGGUUGAAACUCAAAGGAAUUGACGG
rnacentral:rRNA from 1 species